AGAGAGAGAGAGAGAGAGAGGAAGGAUGAGCAUACCUUAGUAGGAGUGACUGCUGGCUGCUGUGAGAGUGAGAGAGAAGCAGCGUGACAGAAGAGAAGUGGUGACUUUUAGCAUUUUUAAUUUGUUGUGGACAAAAAGUUAAAAAAGGAAAAAAAUAAAAUAAAAAAUAGCCCUAACUUCAUUGAGGCAUCACCUCAGUGCCUUGUCGCCCAAUGCCUCUCUCGCUGGGGCGGCCACCUGCCGUAAGCAAGGCAAGGCGCUAGAGGGGCGUCUGCCUCGCCUCGGCGCCUUUAACAACAAUGGCUAUUAUUGUUGCCAAAUUAACUAUAGCUCUGCCUUUCUGUUUUUUUAUGGCCUUAACUUUGCCAUUUUCUGAAAGAAUAAUGCUAAACAUACCGUUGCUUUUGCACUUUCUAUUUAUCCCACCUAACACGGCACAAGACUAUUGGUGUGAUGUUCUGCACUAAAAGUUCAUGGAUAGUGGGGGUUAUGAUGAAUACAGUCAUGCCUCUUUAAGCAGGAUAAAUAAGGCAGUAAAAAUGGACACACGUUAAAGGCAUUCUCAAUAUGAAAAAAGAAAUGUGGUUUUAGGGCAACAAUUUGUUGACCACUUGAUCUGUCUAUCACUAAGGUCAAUGCACUUUUUUCCCUCUUACUAACUUACUUUUGAUAGAGAGGGCACUGUGUUUUUUCAUUGUUUGGAUUCAUUUUUCUUAUGUGUUUUCAUCCCAUGGACUAUUUGAUUUCAUUUUUCAAUCCCAAUUGGUGUUUAGUUGUUCCUCUAAUCCUUUCGCAUUAAGCUUCUAUUGCUUAACAAAGUCAGAAUUUUAUCAUGCUGGUUAGAUUAGGAUCAAUUGAUAGAAUUAUUAUGGUCUGAGCCAGUGUACUAUAUAUCUGGUAUUAAUCUGGUUGCAGGACGAACUGAGAGAUGCUGUCU
rnacentral:misc_RNA from 1 species